UACGUAGGGUGCAAGCGUUAAUCGGAAUUACUGGGCGUAAAGCGUGCGCAGGCGGUUGUGCAAGACAGGUGUGAAAUCCCCGGGCUCAACCUGGGGAACUGCAUUUGUGACUGCACGGCUGGAGUGCGGCAGAGGGGGAUGGAAUUCCGCGUGUAGCAGUGAAAAUGCGUAGAUAUGCGGAGGAACACCGAUGGCGAAGGCAAUCCCCUGGGCCUGCACUGACGUCAUGCACGAAAGCGUGGGGAGCAAACAGG
rnacentral:rRNA from 1 species